rnacentral:rRNA from 1 species
AGGACGAACGCUGGCGGCGUGCUUAACACAUGCAAGUCGAACGGAAAGGCCCUUCGGGGUACUCGAGUGGCGAACGGGUGAGUAACACGUGGGUGAUCUGCCCUGCACUUUGGGAUAAGCCUGGGAAACUGGGUCUAAUACCGAAUAGGACCACGGCAUGCAUGUGCUGUGGUGGAAAGCUUUUGCGGUGUGGGAUGGGCCCGCGGCCUAUCAGCUUGUUGGUGGGGUGAUGGCCUACCAAGGCGACGACGGGUAGCCGGCCUGAGAGGGUGUCCGGCCACACUGGGACUGAGAUACGGCCCAGACUCCUACGGGAGGCAGCAGUGGGGAAUAUUGCACAAUGGGCGCAAGCCUGAUGCAGCGACGCCGCGUGGGGGAUGACGGCCUUCGGGUUGUAACCCCGUUUCAGUAGGGACGAAGCGCAAGUGACGGUACCUACAGAAGAAGCACCGGCCAACUACGUGCCAGCAGCCGCGGUAA